GGGAUGACCGCCCCACCUUUUUUUCCGAACCAAAAUAAGGGAUUUGCAGCAUAUUAGGAUGUCAGGAUACUUGAUUCCACGCCAAAAAAUCCGGUUUUUUUUUUCCUUAGUGAAGAUCGCACAGGUGGUACACAAAAAA